GAAUUCAACUCCUACGGGAGGCAGCAGUGGGGAAUAUUGGUCAAUGGGCGCAAGCCUGAACCAGCCAUGCCGCGUGCAGGAAGACGGUCCUAUGGAUUGUAAACUGCUUUUAUACAGGAAGAAACGCCUCCACGUGUGGAGGCUUGACGGUACUGUAGGAAUAAGGAUCGGCUAACUCCGUGCCAGCAGCCGCGGUAAUACGGAGGAUCCAAGCGUUAUCCGGAAUCAUUGGGUUUAAAAGGUCCGUAGGCGGUCUUAUAAGUCAGUGGUGAAAGCCCAUCGCUCAACGAUGGAACUGCCAUUGAUACUGUAAGACUUGAAUGCUUAGGAAGUAACUAGAAUAUGUAGUGUGGCGGUGAAAUGCUUAGAUAUUACAUGGAAUACCAAUUGCGAAGGCAGGUUACUACUAAGUGAUUGACGCUGAUGGACGAAAGCGUGGGGAGCGAACAGGAUUAGAAACCCUAGUAGUCCAGGCGUU
rnacentral:rRNA from 1 species